rnacentral:lncRNA from 10 species
AUUGCUUAGAUGUACCACAGUUCAUUCAUCAGUUGAAAGGCCUUUGAGAUGCUCCCUCUUUGGGCAAUUAUGAAUAAUGUCACAAUCAACAUUUGCAUGCAGAUUUUGUGUGAACAUAAGAGUAAUUUCUCUUGGACUGGCAUGCCUGCUUUGUAUGGAUUGGUGAAGUGCUAAUAUUUAUUCCACUCCUGUCUUCUGAGCUCUAACCAAAUUGAGAACAACUACAAAAAAUGAGGUUAAGAAUGGCUUGGCUAUGCCUUGAAGAAGACUCACAGCCAACAUGGACUAUUUUUUAACAACCUCUGUCAAAAU